ACUCGUAGACUCCUACGGGAGGCAGCAGUGGGGAAUAUUGCACAAUGGGCGGGAAGCCUGAUGCAGCAACGCCGCGUGCGGGAUGACGGCCUUCGGGUUGUAAACCGCUUUCGCCUGUGACGAAGCGUGAGUGACGGUAAUGGGUAAAGAAGCACCGGCUAACUACGUGCCAGCAGCCGCGGUGAUACGUAGGGUGCGAGCGUUGUCCGGAUUUAUUGGGCGUAAAGGGCUCGUAGGUGGUUGAUCGCGUCGGAAGUGUAAUCUUGGGGCUUAACCCUGAGCGUGCUUUCGAUACGGGUUGACUUGAGGAAGGUAGGGGAGAAUGGAAUUCCUGGUGGAGCGGUGGAAUGCGCAGAUAUCAGGAGGAACACCAGUGGCGAAGGCGGUUCUCUGGGCCUUUCCUGACGCUGAGGAGCGAAAGCGUGGGGAGCGAACAGGCUUAGAUACCCUGGUAG
rnacentral:rRNA from 1 species